rnacentral:rRNA from 1 species
AAAGGAAUUGACGGGGACCCGCACAAGCAGCGGAGCAUGUGGUUUAAUUCGAAGCAACGCGAAGAACCUUACCAGGGCUUGACAUCCCUCUGACAGGCUUGAUAACGAUAGCCUUUCUUCGGACAGAGGAGACAGGUGGUGCAUGGUUGUCGUCAGCUCGUGUCGUGAGAUGUUGGGUUAAGUCCCGCAACGAGCGCAACCCUUGUCUUUAGUUGCCAUCAUUGAGUUGGGCACUCUAAAGAGACUGCCGGGGACAACUCGGAGGAAGGUGGGGAUGACGUCAAAUCAUCAUGCCCCUUAUGUUCUGGGCUACACACGUGCUACAAUGGUCGGUACAAAGAGCAGCAAGACCGCGAGGUGGAGCAAAUCUCAAAAACCGAUCCCAGUUCGGAUUGCAGGCUGCAACUCGCCUGCAUGAAGUCGGAGUUGCUAGUAAUCGUGGAUCAGAAUGCCACGGUGAAUGCGUUCCCGGGUCUUGUACACACCGCCCGU